CCUCUUCUCUUCUCUGUGCCACAGCAGAUCAUAUCUCGCCCAUUGUCAGCCGAUGGAGGAUUUCGCCCAAUUGCCGAUGACCCCAUCAGCCCCAAAUACACCAGAGACUUUCGCCGUGCCACCGAGGUCACAAAUUUGGACAUGGAUUAAUCGCUGGAAUGGAAAUAGACUUUUUCAAGUUUACGAGCAUGGAUGCGGCUUGAACGUAGGAGGGAUUUGCCCGCCGCGGAGCAGCUGUGUCCCUAUACGCGGCCAUGGACGGCGGCUAUAUGUGAGAGAGCAGCCAGCGAUCCUCCCUGCAGCCCCAGUGACAGAGAUGAAUUCGUUUCAUUUCACGUAGCUUCCCGAUGAUUUAUGCUUGCGGCGGUGGGCGAGGAAAGAAACUCUGCUGGAGACAAAACGAGAAGGAGGUGCAGCGCUCAAGAGAGAAAGAAAGAGAGUGUCACUGCAAACUCAUCAAUCAUCACACAAACAAUCAGCCGACCUGAUCAACCUCCAGACCAUCCUCCUUUAUUGGUGUGGACAAAAUGAUGAAAUACGACCUCACAGUCGGGGACCGAAGAAUCCAAACAACUUAUACGGAGGCGGUGCUCAAAAUGCAAAAACCAUUCUUCAUUUCCAGUGACAACUUCUGUUUAAGUUUUUAAUUAGCAAA